rnacentral:rRNA from 1 species
UACGAGGGGGGCUAGCGUUGUUCGGAAUCACUGGGCGUAAAGCGCACGCAGGCGGAUCGUUAAGUCAGGGGUGAAAUGCCGAGGCUCAACCUCGGAACUGCCUUUGAUACUGGCGAUCUCGAGUCCGGGAGAGGUGAGUGGAACUGCGAGUGUAGAGGUGAAAUUCGUAGAUAUUCGCAAGAACACCAGUGGCGAAGGCGGCUCACUGGCCCGAUACUGACGCUGAGGCACGAAAGCGUGGGGAGCAAACAGG